rnacentral:rRNA from 1 species
ANAGUUUGAUCCUGGCUCANGACGAACGCUGGCGGCGUGCCUAAUACAUGCAAGUCGGACGCCGGAUGUCGGGUAUCAGAGGCCAGAGGUCGGAGAGAAAGACCUCUCGGGGAAGCUGAAAGCAUCAGUGAACUGCUUUCAUCAGGCUUCCGGCUUCCGAUACCUGACAUCCGGAGUGGCGGACGGGUGAGUAACACGUGGGCAACCUGCCUGUAAGACCGGGAUAACUUGCGGAAACGUGAGCUAAUACCGGAUAAUUUCUUUCUUCGCAUGAGGGAAGGUUGAAAGACGGUUAUGCUGUCACUUACAGAUGGGCCCGCGGCGCAUUAGCUGGUUGGUGGGGUAACGGCCUACCAAGGCGACGAUGCGUAGCCGACCUGAGAGGGUGAUCGGCCACACUGGGACUGAGACACGGCCCAGACUCCUACGGGAGGCAGCAGUAGGGAAUCUUCCGCAAUGGACGCAAGUCUGACGGAGCAACGCCGCGUGAGAGAAGAAGGCCUUCGGGUCGUAAAACUCUGUUAUCAGGGAAGAAUCCGUGCCGGAGUAACUGCCGGUGCGUUGACGGUACCUGACCAGAAAGCCACGGCUAACUACGUGCCAGCCGCCGCGGUAAUUC